AUUGAACGCUGGCGGCAGGCCUAACACAUGCAAGUCGAGCGGAUGAAGGGAGCUUGCUCCUGGAUUCAGCGGCGGACGGGUGAGUAAUGCCUAAGAAUCUGCCUGGUAGUGGGGGAUAACGUCCGGAAACGGGCGCUAAUACCGCAUACGUUCUGAGGGAGAAAGUGGGGGAUCUUCGGACCUCACGCUUUCAGAUGAGCCUAGGUCGGAGUAGCUAGUUGGUGGGGUAAAGGCCUACCAAGGCGACGAUCCGUAACUGGUCUGAGAGGAUGAUCAGUCACACUGGAACGGAGACAAGGUCCAGACUCCUACGGGAGGCAGCAGUGGGGAAUAUUGGACCAUGGGCGAAAGCCUGGUCCAGCCAUGCCGAGUGUGUGAAGAAGGUCUUCGGAUUGUAAAGCACUUUAAGUUGGGAGGAAGGGCAGUAUGUUAACACCUUGCUGUGUUGACGUUACCAACAGAAUAAGCACCGGCUAACUUCGUG
rnacentral:rRNA from 1 species